rnacentral:rRNA from 1 species
GACGAACGCUGGCGGCGUGCUUAACACAUGCAAGUCGAGCGGUAAGGCCCUUCGGGGUACACGAGCGGCGAACGGGUGAGUAACACGUGGGUGAUCUGCCCUGCACUUCGGGAUAAGCCUGGGAAACUGGGUCUAAUACCGGAUAUGACCUUCGGCUGCAUGGCUGAGGGUGGAAAGGUUUACUGGUGCAGGAUGGGCCCGCGGCCUAUCAGCUUGUUGGUGGGGUAAUGGCCUACCAAGGCGACGACGGGUAGCCGACCUGAGAGGGUGACCGGCCACACUGGGACUGAGACACGGCCCAGACUCCUACGGGAGGCAGCAGUGGGGAAUAUUGCACAAUGGGCGAAAGCCUGAUGCAGCGACGCCGCGUGAGGGAUGACGGCCUUCGGGUUGUAAACCUCUUUCAGCAGGGACGAAGCGAAAGUGACGGUACCUGUAGAAGAAGCACCGGCCAACUACGUGCCAGCAGCCGCGGUAAUACGUAGGGUGCAAGCGUUGUCCGGAAUUACUGGGCGUAAAGAGCUCGUAGGCGGUUUGUCGCGUCGUCUGUGAAAACUCGAGGCUCAACCUCGAGCUUGCAGGCGAUACGG